UACGUAGGGGGCUAGCGUUGUCCGGAUUUAUUGGGCGUAAAGAGCGUGUAGGCGGCCAGGUAGGUCUGGUGUGAAAACUCGAGGCUUAACCUCGAGAUGUCAUCGGAACCAUUGGCUAGAGUCCGGAAGAGGAGAGUGGAAUUCCUGGUGUAGCGGUGAAAUGCGCAGAUAUCAGGAAGAACACCAAUGGCGAAGGCAGCUCGCUGGGACGGUACUGACGCUAAGGCGCGAAAGCGUGGGGAGCGAACAGG
rnacentral:rRNA from 1 species